rnacentral:lncRNA from 1 species
UUUAAUGGCUAUUUCACUAUUUUUUAAUAGAAAUAAUGAGAGGGAGAAGUGAAGAGAAAUAAAGCAGUUAUAUUGAAAGUUUAAUUUUAAAGGAGAAAUAAGACAAAAACAUUAAUUUUUCGGCCAUUGAUUAUGCAUAUAUGUCGUACAAUGCCAUAAGUCUUUGUAUGUAUCCAUGAAGAACACUUCAGACAUGCAUUGCGUAGCAGGGAGCAGCUCUGUAUGUCGUCCUCCAUGCGUGUCAUGUUAAGGACGGUGACGGCCGGUGGUCCAAUUCUUGUACAUGAUUUGGUGAUCUUUAUUCUCUCAGAACUUGCCUGAGCAGUGACUUCAUCCUCUGGGACCUGUAGUUGCAGUGGUUAGUUCAAAAUCCAAAUGAAAGAGUGAGGUGAUCGAUUUCUUUGUCCCAUUCUUACCAAAACAAUGGAAGCUCAGCUCAGCUCAGCUCUGUGUGUUGUGCCCCAAACUGCUAGAGAUCAUUGUGGGGAACUCCCACUAAACAUACUGACAAUAAUGCAUUCCAAUGUACAAAAUCUUACAUAAUGCUCAACCUAACUUUGGGCCAC